rnacentral:rRNA from 1 species
AGUGAACGCUGGCGGUAGGCCUAACACAUGCAAGUCGAACGGCAGCACAGUAAGAGCUUGCUCUUACGGGUGGCGAGUGGCGGACGGGUGAGGAAUACAUCGGAAUCUACUUUUUCGGGGGGGAUAACGUAGGGAAACUUACGCUAAUACCGCAUACGACCUACGGGUGAAAGCAGGGGAUCUUCGGACCUUGCCCGAUUGAAUGAGCCGAUGUCGGAUUAGCUAGUUGGCGGGGUAAAGGCCCACCAAGGCGACGAUCCGUAGCUGGUCUGAGAGGAUGAUCAGCCACACUGGAACUGAGACACGGUCCAGACUCCUACGGGAGGCAGCAGUGGGGAAUAUUGGACAAUGGGCGCAAGCCUGAUCCAGCCAUACCGCGUGGGUGAAGAAGGCCUUCGGGUUGUAAAGCCCUUUUGUUGGGAAAGAAAAGCAGCAGGUUAAUACCCCGCUGUUCUGACGGUACCCAAAGAAUAAGCACCGGCUAACUUCGUG